rnacentral:lncRNA from 1 species
AAGAUGUUCUCUUUCUAUUUAAUCAGUAUAGGCCAAAUCUUGGUAAUUUCUAUAUUUCUUGGUUCACAUAAAUGUUGUAUUGAGUUCGAUACCCAUGAUACGAGACUGACCUGCUGGAGUAAUGAUGGAUUGUAGAUUAUUUGUGAUCCAAGAUCAUCCAAAAAGCAAACUGAAACAACCUUAGUGGCCCAAAAUUUUUUUAAAAAAUAAUAAAACGAGGUUGCAAAUUUUCAGAUAAUAAAACAGAAAUGCUGAAAUUUGCUACUUCUCAGUCGAACAAGAUUGUUAAUUAACCUUAGAAGCCCAUAAUGCAAAUUGCCAAUUUUUUGAAACCCAUUCUUUCUAUGAACUUUUCCUAACUUGUACUCGCUCUUCCAAACUUGGAUUACCAAUUCAAAUUUGCGGUCUAAAUUCCAUCCCAGGUAGAACACAUGUACUUAUUAUUUACUUGGUAGAUUUUUUGUUGAGGAAUCUGAGUUUCUAAGAAGUGAAUUUAGUUGAGAAGGCAAACCAACCAAUGCUUCUUCAAACUUGUCCAACUACAUCUGACGAUUCUGACCAACCAUUGCUUCCUAUAAAAAGCAUCAUCUACCCGCUCAUCCCCUACGGAAUCAAUACAAAACAAAUUAAUCCCCUACGGAUUCAAUUUGAAGCUUCUACCUUCUGCAUUAAUCAAACAAGUGCUCAAAAUGACUACUUCUUCCAAUGUCUGCUUCUUUCUGUCUUUGCUCAUUGCUUUAUCAUUUUCGAGCAUCCAAGAAAGCCAGGCGGCUCGCCAACUAUUGCAAACUUCCCCACCAGUGAUACCAGCAAUACCAACAUUGCCUCGUACAACCCUGCCAAAUUUGCCUACCACAUUGCCACCAUUAUCAAGUAUUCCUUUGCCAACAUUACCGACAAAUCUUCCACCUUUGCCAAAGCCCACAUUGCCAACUAUGCCCACAGUUCCUAAGGUGGCCCUCCCUCCCAUUCCAGCUGCAACUUCAUUGCCAAACAUUCCAUCCACAAUUCCUUCUAUCCCAACUAAUAUCCCAACGUCAUUUCCUUCAAUUCCUUUCUUCUCUCCACCGCCAUCCAACUAGACCAUUUUAGACAUGAACACGAUUCAGUGUUUGAAUUUGCAUAUUUGUCGUUCCUUCAGAUUGCUUAUCGAUACGAUUUCUUGUACUUGAAAUUUUUACAGUUUCAUUAGUCCGUCUAGCUAGGGAUCUUAUGAAGUAGACGGAGUUUGGAUUUCAUGUAUUGUGCCUUGGAGAUUGUAUUCGGAUUGUUUAUGUUAUGAAUUAUGAUGAGCUCUCUGACACUAUGAACGAGCACUUUUUUACGUAUGUUUGUUUCUUUUGCCAACUCUAAACAUAACUUUAAGUCAUAGAUAUGAAUGUGGGAGACAAAAGUUUUUAGUUUUGAGUUUUGGGAUCUAUAGCAACCGUUAUACCAGAAUACAUCUACGCUUAAAAUGGUGUACUCCCAAAAAAAAAAAAAAGAAAGAAGUUUUGGGAUGGGCAUAAUGAAGAGUUUCAAUAUGUAAGUUCUAUCAUCUGCACAAAUAAAUUGGAAGCUCAUGAUGUGUUAAUGUACAGACAUUUGGGAAAAUGUUGCGGAAUUUGUGUUUUUUUUUAUUUGAAAGAAUGAAAAUUCUAUCCAAUAAAGACUACAUUCACUUCACAAAAAAAAAAAAAAAAAAAAAAAAGAUUAGAUUCACCAGCUGUCUAAACUUUCAACUUAAAAAAAAAAUUAAAAGUCUUUGAUGAUUAAUUACCUUAUUAAGUCUCUCUUGCCAAUAAAAUCUUGAUUUAGUAGUGAAACAACACUACUAAACCACUUGCAUUAAGAGCUGAAUUCAUCCGAACAACCCAAAAGAUUCGUUUUAAAGAGAUAAAUAACAUAUUUUGCAAAAAAAAAAAAAAAAAGUGAUGCCAUAGCAAAAGUGUGAAAAAUAAAGGGGUUACACGAACACCCUCCAUCAGAAAAUUAUUACACGAAUGAAAUCUAGGUAUGAAUCAGUGAUUCAUAAGAAAUGUGAGAUAACUUUCAACAGUUAGAAUAUCCAAUUAAAAUUUCAUUAAUAGUUGAUAAAAGACUUGUUAAAAAGUCCUGGAAAAACCUAUUUAUAAACUAUAAAAGUUUAACCUAAAAAGAAAACAAAACACACGAAAAACUCUAAAACAACUAAAAGAUGCGUUGCAGCCGUGAUGACCCUUCAGAUAUAUUUAGUAACACUAGAUUUUUUGUUUUUUUUUUGGGGUAGGUUCGGGUAACAUGAUUUUGCUUCUUAGCUAGAAGUGACGGGUUCAAAUCUAUAUUCAAAAAAAAAAAAAAAAAAAGGACUGGUAAAAAGGCUUUUCAUCUGACGAUUUUUUAUGGGAUUUAAUUGCAGUAUUGUCAUCGCCAAUGGUUCAAGGGAUGGACGUGAAAAUGGCCACAAUUAUCUCAAGAAAAUUACUUCAGACUGAAUGCGAAGUUCCCCUGCAGACGAUUGAACAUGCAGUAAUCACUCUUGUUGUUGACAACCCAAUAUGCGAAGAUGAUGAUGAUUGUGAUGCAGUAUUCCAAAAAAAAAAAAAAAAGUAUGCCAGCAGGUGUAGCCUCAAACCCUGAAGUGAUUGUUCGAGAUAAUUCAUGGUUGGAACUUGGAAUCGAAACGCGAGAUCUGCUUUCUCUACAUGAAAAAUCUAAAUAAAAUCCUCAAUUUCGACAUAGUUCAGAUAAAUGUUUGAUAAGUCAAUUGUUGUACUUUGCAUCUUGUGACCAAGUCUGUAAUGCAAAUAAUAGGAAAUAAACCAAAGUGCAUUGCAGUACAAGGGCUGCUCAUGUCUGUUUGUAGUUUAAUUUGAAUAUUUCGUGCAAGUUAUAUGUACGUUCUCGACAUUAUUUGCAUGGAAUGUCGCUCAUGCUUUAAUUUGACCUUUAAUCCCUUUCAUUUUUAUUACUUGCAGUAGUAUUAAUACAAGGACUUUUACUUCGACUAAAUAAUAGGAGAUCGAUUAGUAUGAAAUGAGAAGCUCUCAAGAUACAGAGGGAUACUUAUGUUUUGAUGCCAUGAAAUGUACCCCUACCUCUUUUUAAAUUCCAACCUUCCCUUAUUAUUAAAAAAAAAAUUUAAAAAAAUAGAAAAGUAAGCUGUUUUUUUUUUAAGAGGACAACUUCACAUCACAAAUACAGUUGAACUACUCUUUCUUUUUUUUUUUUUUUUUCCUUCUCCUCGUCAAGUGUUGGCCUCAGUAUCGCUGCUGUUGGAUUGGAUUUUUCUCUCAAGUUUCUCUCCUGUAUUGACCUUACCCCAUUUCAGACUCUGUGGGGGAAUUCUUAAUAACCAAGUGUACACUUGCACACCAUAAACUGUUGGUAGUUCAUCAGCAUUCUAAUUCCAAACUAAUUCCAAGUUUAGUUGAGAAAGGCCAACUAAACCUAAUUCUACUAAUCCAACUACAUUCGAUCAAACACUUUCACCUCUAUGGCUAUCUAUAAAUAAGAGUCAAGAAACAAUAUGCGAGUCCCUCAACUCGAAACCAGAAAAAUACCCAUCUUGUACUUGCCGUAACACUUAAAAAAGUGUUUGCUAAUUUCUGAAUUUCAAUACAGGAUCAUUUACCAAUGGCUACAUCUUCCAAAGUUUGCUUUGUUCUGUCCUUGAUCCUAGCUCUAUCAUUUUCAAGCAUCAAGGUUUCUAACGCAGCUCGCUACCUUCUGCAGACGACGCCAGGAAUACCUACAAUGCCAUCGUUGCCCAAGUUGCCUCCAUUGCCUACCAUGCCAAGCUUCCCUACAGCCACAUUGCCACCAAUGCCAGCUACCCCUUUGCCCACAUUACCCACAAAUCUUCCAUCACUGCCAAAGCCCACAUUUCCGCCAUUGCCAAGCACUCAGCUUCCAACUUUGCCUACCAUCCCUUCCAUUCCCUCUAUUCCUACUACAAUUCCUACUUUACCUUUCCCCUCACCACCACCAUCAAGCUAGACAUUGAAAACGAAGCACUUGGAUUAUUUAUCAUCAUCUCUUUACUGGGAAGUCUGGAAAUCCAUGAAGAUUAUCGAUCAUUUCUUUUUUUUUUUUUUUUUGGUGGCUCCAGCCAUAUUCGUAUGUUACUCGUACUAUGAUUGCGGCGUUGUAUCUUUGUUACUCAUACUAUGAUUGUAUUAUUGGAUAUCUGUUACUCAUACUAUGAUCGUAUUAUUUGAAACCUUUCUUUCACGGGGUCUGAGUAUCUGGUUAAGAUUUGACCGACAGCCAUCAGAAAUCUAAUCUCAACAACAUAAAAGCGGUUCUUUGGUUACAUUCUUUGAAUUAAUUGCUUUUUUUUCUGAAAGACGAAAAUAAAAUGCAAAUCUAAGGCUGUGAACGAAAACACUAAGGACUACUAUCACCGACAACUGUGUACUGGGGCAGUAGCAAUUCAGUCCCUUUUACAAUCCAAGCAUUCAGGUGCAACAUACUUGUCUAGAUUGAAAUCAGGCUUCAUGUGAAAGUUGAUGGAACUUCAUCUUGGAGACCCCAAAAAAGAGAGAGAGAGAGAGAGAGAGAUAGACAAGCAAAACAUGAGAGGAAUAUUACUUUUCAUGCACUUUUGUAGUCUGGAUGUAAAUCUUGUCAUCACAUCUUUGAUAAAUAUGCUGUUUAUAUCACAAUAGUGAAUUGAAAUAGAUUAAAAUUUUUUAUGUUUUUUGGUUUAAAUGAGAAUUUUGUUCACCAGUUAAUAUACACAAGCUGUGUGUUCAAGCAAUGACGAGUUUGGGUCCUCUUAAUUGUUGUAACUUCUAGAGCUGUUUGGUCGUAGUUGUGCAAGCAACUCAUUAACAUAAAAUAACUAUGUUGACCACUUCAACGAUUUUUAUAUAAUUCAUUAGGAUAUGGUACAUGUAUGUAUUGUGUGAUUUGAUAUUAUUAUCACAGUCGAUUUUUGUACUUUUUACAUAAUAUGAUAUGGUAUGCAUUUACACAAGUUAUUGCACUGAAUUUCUUACGAGAUGGAGUGCAAAAGAACAAAACGUACAGAAAAAAUAAAAUAUGGCUCACAUGUACAAUCACAUGAUGUAAACUUGCAUCAAAAAAUUAUGUAACAAAUACAGUAGUAUAGAACUGCACCUACCGCAAUGGUACUUGCAUCAUUUCCAUUUUAUCUGCAUCAGAAAGGAGCUACAAAAAAAUGCUAAACUAUUAUUAGCAAGUUUCGCAACUCAUCCAAAGAAAUCCAAACGGAUGUACAUCAUCCUUUGAAUUUUUGGUCUUAACUUUCCCAUUAUGGUAUGUGUGUGUUUGAAAAGUAAAAGCCGAAAACAAGAGGGGACUUUGAAGCAGCUGACGAGUUCCACGCAUGCAGUUGCUAAGAAAACCCCCCCAAUGUAGUGUUACCAUUGCGAAAUCAGUUUCCAGGUGUACAGCACUUUUGCUACCUGUCACCAUUUCAGCCCCUUCGCCAUGAAAUUUUUCCAAAUCAUAUCUCAAAAACUCAUCUAAAACCUGAGAAACCAUAAGUCCAGAUUGAGAAAAUGCCAAGAACCCACCGCACUGCAAUUUUCUACUGAUAAUCUAGACACCAACGUCAUAUUCUAAUCAAUGUAUCAAGCUCUUCAAGCACAUAUCAUGAAAUCCUUCUGGUUUCCUUCACUAUAAAUAGAGCUUGAAUGAACUAGUAUUUUCCUAACAUCUUCAGUAUCUCUUUUGUAAGCCAGAAAGCACAGGAAAAAUGAAGUCCAGAGCGUUUAUUUUGGUUGCACUUCUAUGUGCUCUAUUUCUUCUCGUUUCUUCCACUAUGGCUGUUGAUACACCCAAGGAUGGAACAAAGGGUAAGAAAAUACUAGUACCAAGUAGCUAUGCUUAUGUUUUUGCAAGAUUUCCAUCGGUCAUUAACUUGAUUUUCUUAUUUUUCAAUAGAAAUAUCAUACGAUCUCCGUAAAUGAAUAGUAUGGAUUAUAGGAUGAAUUACAAAUGUUUGCCUGGUUGACAAUUAUUGUUUGCAGAGGACAAGGCAAAGGAACCCGAACAAUAUGGAGGUCGGUGUCGUUAUGGCUGCUGUGGUCGUCGGGGCCCCUAUGGUUGUAGUAAGUGCUGCAGAACAGGUAAUAGUUGCACCAUUCAAAGAAACAGGAUUUAAAUGCGUGAACAGUAUUUGUAACUUAAAAAGUUGUGUUGUCCAUGUAGCUAAUGAAGCUGAAGCAACCCAAGUAAACGCUGACAUCAAUGGCAAUGAAGGCGGUGGACAUGGUGGUGGCGGCGGCUAUGGAGGUGGUGGCGGCGGACAUGGUGGUGGCGGCGGCUAUGGAGGUGGUGGUGGUGGCAGCGGAGGUGGUCAUGGUGGGGGAGGUGGUCAUGGUGGUGGAGGUGGAUAUGGUGGGCACUGCAGGUACGGCUGUUGUGGUGGCUAUGGCAAAUAUUGCAGGUGCUGCUACAACCCUGAAGAAGCUCAAGCUUUUGUACAAAAUGAGAACUGAGCCAAGCCAUAAAUCAAGGAAACUUCCAUGUACAAGUUUGCGUGAAUAACUACAUGGUUGAAUGUUGAUCUUAUGACAAAAAUAAAAUACUUAGUACAUGUGCUUCUGUGCUUAGCACAUAUGUAAGGAAUAAAAAGUUUCAGUCAUCAUUUGAUGAUGUGAAUUUCAACAAGUGUCCUUCAAUCCCAUGCCUGGAUUUUUUUUUUUUUUUUUUUUUUUAAAUUUGACAUCUGCUACUUGUCAUGUUUGUCUUUGCUCUUAACAUUUGCACUUGAAUGCUCCAGUCAAAAUUUAAGUAAAUUUGUGAAAUAAAUAAAAAUAGCAACACCAGACCAAUCAUUCAUGAUAGAAGUAGGAAGUAGGAAGCCAGAGAGAUAAUUGGAAAGUACACUCGAUUAAAGAAAAAACAACGAAAGCCACAUAAAAUCAGAAAAAAAAAAUUAAAUCGAGUGUAAUUGGCAGGGUACGUAUUCAUGCCACUGAUGGAGGCAAUGUAGUUGCAGGAAUUGCUGGCUUUGUGGGCUAUGACCAUAUAGAGUUGUAAGUAAUUUCUCACAGUAAAUGUUCUGCUUGUUCGUGGAAACAAGAGAACUAAAGCAUCAUCAGGUUUGACAAAUGCAAGUGCACAUCUUUGGACUUGGGAGUUGGGAGGACUCGGGAGCUAAUACCUACAUAGAAAAUGGGCGAUGGAUGAAGAAAGGUGCUACAGACUUUUUAUGUCCUCCAAUGUGGGUGGCAGAAUACACUUUCCUUGAAGUUGAUCAGCGAGAUUACUUUUGUGAUUGCUGAAAUUCAUGACAAAACGGUUCAACAUCUUCAAUCACAAAUUCGUCGAACUGCAAUUAUAAUCUCAUUGGACCAAACUCGAGUAAGCAAAUCAAAUCAAAUCGCUAAUGUCACUUCUUCCAAGUAGCGCUGACAUUCUAAGAUUGACAAGGAAAUGCAGGCUUUGACUCAUCAUUUACUUAAAGCAGGAUACAACAGCAAAAGAAAUCCAGAAGCAAAGAAUAUGAAACUAACCUGAAAACAAAGAUUUAGUAUUUCACAUUUAGAACAGUUACACGCAAAUCAAAAACAUUUUUGCUGCAUUGGGUCGGUGAACAUCCGUACAAGCAUGUGUUACAACAAGAUGUAUACAGUCUCAGGAGUCAUGCUACUAAAGUUUGAUGCCCGAUGCUCUCAGAAGAUAAAAUGGAACUCAGACACGUCGCUGAAGACUGGAGAGUCACUCAUCACUCAAAUGGUGGUCUUCUUAGACAAAGAAAUACCAUUAUCACAGCUGUUUAAGUAAAAUCCAACAGUCAAAGGCAACCAAAAAUAGUUAAAAUGAGGCAUAAAACAAAUAGAUUUCACAUCAGACUUCAACGACACUACUUGUAAGCUUGCAUUUCUGCAAAAGUGACUUAAGAAAGGGUGCCGGAUGAUAUGUUUGAGAAACCAAAGAUUGCAUUAGUUAAAUCCGCAUUUAAAUGCACAUUAUAUACUUAGCCAGUCGUAUUGACCAUCCCAAUUAGUCACGAGAAUCAUACAACUCAAGGCUGAUUAUCAAAUCAAAAGGAGUGGUUUGAAAACACAAAAUUUGGAAAAGAUGGCCAAUGGAAAUGUGGUUACAAGUACGAUUGAAUAUGAGAAACAUAACAAACUUGAUAGAUCUUCCUGCUGAAGUUAUUUGCUUUUCUUUUAAUUAGUUCAUAAAAUGUUAUUCGACUAUAAUAGUCAGCAGAAAGACAUCCAGAAAUUUUCUCACUCCAUAAUUGAAUUUAAGAAAAGAAAUUUAUACUAUAAGUUAAGUCUAUGCCAAUGAACAAGUUGCACAAAAUUAGUCCUUAAAUAACUGAAACACGGCAAGAUAUAUUUAUGAAAUACACCAUACUUGCAAGUAAGCUUAGUCAAUUUAAACAAGAAGAAGCAUCAGAUAAAUAAGAUCGUUUAAUAGUAAGAGGCAAAGGAAAGAAUAUUACCCAUGAUGCGAGCCUUAAGGGUGAUGAGGUUGCAGUCUCUUCAGAAAAAAGGGUCAUACUAAAGAACCAGAAGAGUUCUUAAGCCUUGUCUUAGCGCUUGAAAAAAACAAUAUCUCUGCCGCAGCUAACUUUGAUAGCUUCCUCCAAACUCUCCAUCUGAUCAAAAUCAACUUUGAAGGUUACCAUGGUAACACCAUCUUUUCCAGUGUCAUAAUCUUGCUUAAUGUCUUCAGCCCGAAAUGAUUGUAGCUGCAAGAUACACAAAUGGUGUAUUUGUGAGACAACUGUUUACGAUGUUGAGAUGCACUAAUCACAACCUCAUCAAACAAGUCAAUGCAUUGAUGACAUUUAGCAAACUGGUAAUAUAUGAAAAACUGACGUAUGCUCCACAUGUCAAAAUGACAAUCAAAACAUGAUUUGUCAUGACAAUAUUUGACAGUUAAUUAGCCAGCAACACAACCAGAAGAGAACUUAUAAAUCCUCUGAAUCUUACCUGAUGGUAGAGAACCCCCAAAAGGUCAUAUGGAAUCUCCAAGCCCAUUGGAACCUACAAAUCAAGAUCCUUGUCACAAUAUUUAAUUCAUGAAGCAGAUUUCAAUGUGCAAAGUACGAAGUGGAAAAGAAACUUAUAGAAUUAGACUACUAUUGAUUCAAUAGGCACAAGUUUUAGAGAAUGUAAAAGCCAGCAAGGAUGAGUUGUUACUUUGGACUUGACAAGACAAGUGGGGGCAUUUCUCAAACAAUCAGCAGCAACCCCUCCAUAAGCCCUGACUAAACCUCCGGUGCCAAGUUUAAUACCUCCGAAGUACCUAAAUUAUGAAAUGCAAAAAGAUGAACAUCUUGAAUAGCUUCUCUCCCUAGAUAGAAAAGCCAAAUAACAGACUAAUGGAUGUCAAAAACUUAAUGCAUGUAUCAAAAAAUGAAAAUUGUUACGUAAAAACAACACUCUCUACAUUUCAUUCACAAAAGAAACAUUUGAAUCAGAGCCAAAGGGAAAAAAGCAAUAGCAUGGCCCCAAAAAAUGUGCAACAUUUGUCUACCUGAUCACGACUACCAUAACUCUAUCAAUCCCAGAAGAUUCAAUUGCAGAAAGUAUUGGCUUGCCUGCUGUACCAGAUGGUUCACCGUCAUCAUUACUCCGAAACUGAUCCCCAACCUAGAAUUCACAAAUAACUGCAUUUGCGUCGAAAACAACCAACAAACAAAAGGGGCAAAGAGAAAUAAAAGCCUCAUAAUUGAUUCAAGUACCCCAAGAAUCACUAAUAACUAUCAUACCGGAAAAGAUCAAAUUUUGUACCUUAUAUGCCCAACAAUUAUGAGUAGCCUUGGGGUCACGAACCUUAUUUCCAAACAAAACAAAAAAUAAGUCUUUAAUGGCAAAAAUAAAAAAAUAAAAAAAACCAAAAGUAAAAUGCAAGAAAGAAGAGAGGAAGGAGUGAUUAUUAAUACCUCAGUGAGGAAGGCCUGAGCAGAGCGUUCAUUAGAGAUGGUGCCAGCAAUGGCGAUAAAUUUACUCUUCUUUAUCUCUGUCUGAAAUGUGACCCUUUCUUUAAUUGUGGUAAAGGCACCACCUUUUUUAUUAUUAUUGGGAUUAGAAUCAGACGCAGUGAUGCUAUUGCUGCUAAUGGUGGCCAUUGGCGUUAGAUAAAUACAGGGUUUUGUCUGAAUUACGGAGAACGAGGGAAGAAAACGGUGACGGUGAUUCUGAAGAUUGUGAUGGAGAAGAAGGGCUUUGUUCAGAUUCUUGAAAGGGAUUGAGAGAAUCCGCAUAGAAGCAGCCGCCUGCAUCAGCAAAAACCUUAAUUUCUUUCCAUCUAAAACGUUGUCGUGAUGGUGGAAUUCGAUUAAGGUUUCGUUCUUUGUUUUUUAUGCUCAAUUUUGAGGACAGAAAAAUAUGCAAGCAACAAAAUAGUCUUUAGGAUUAUAGAGCACGCUUUAAAAUAUGCAAGCAACAAAAUAUUCUUUAGAAACAUCGAGGCGUGGAACUCUUGAGUAUUAUAUGGGACGCUUUAGAUUGAGGGCGCAAAAGGAUGGGGAUAUUUGGGGGAAAAAAAAAAAAGUUACCCCACAUUUGUGAUUUGUUACUCGAAUAGACAAAAUUUGGAAAAUGCACUUCCAUCCAUUAAAAAGUAACUUUAAGAAGUUAGCCUAGAACGACAUAUGCAUAAUUUGGCUUAAAUACCUACAUUUUGAGAAUUUCCUUGAAAAUGUUAUUUGCGCCAUUUCUGUUAAUUACACUCCCACUAUUAUUUUAAUCAUAUAAUUUUUGUUUGUUAGAACAUAUAAUAAAACAAAUUAUGCUAGUGCAAGUAACAAAAAAUGAGUGCAAAUAAUAUUUCUCUUUUCCUUUUGCUCAAGUUAUGCAAGUAGUAUUUCCUCUGUCAACGAGCAAUUCUUAGGUUUUUUAAUGAAGGACAACAAAAGUAUGAAAAUACAUAUUCAAAUGAUGUCCAUGCCAAAAUAAGAAGACCACCAUGCAAAGAAAUAUGUCAUUGUGAAUUUUAAUAUUAAAUUAUCAAGGCUUACUGCAAAAUAAAAUGUAAAAGAUCAAUAUGAUGUUAAGAGAUGUGAUUCGCUAACUAAAGGUUUUUUCAUGAUUAAAUUGGAUUGGCACUCCUCAAAAAUGCCCCUUUUCAAUCCAAAAGUCUCAUACUAAAUAUGAAAAUAAAAAAAAAAAAACAAACUAAGAUGAUGGUCUUUUCAUUCGAACCUUCAUUUUGUACUAAACAUAGAACUAGAAAUAAGUUAUAAAAACAUGAUCUAUUCAAGUUUAUGUGAAAAAAGUAAAUUUUUCACAAAAAAAUUUUGCAUGUGCUGAUGAGCCAAAAUAAGCAAAAUACCACACUUUCCUAGUAAAUCAAGCACAAAUGCAAGGAAUUGUUUUUGCUUUCUAAUACUAUUGAAAACUAUAAUUUUUUAUUCGCUUCGCUGUCUCCAUCCCCAACGUCGCUUUGGCCGAGUGGUUAAGGCGUGUGCCUGCUAAGUACAUGGGGUUUCCCCGCGAGAGUUCGAAUCUCUCAGGCGACGACUCUUUUACCUUUUCGGCUUCCGUUUGCUCUUACAAUCUCACCGACUACUUUCUAGUAGUUCUUCACUUUUGACCGUUAAACACUUGUUCUUUCUCCGGCUUUCAAGUCAAGACAACUUUUCGUCCACAUUAAUCGGAGAACCUGAAAUGGGAACUGGAAGGGGACCUCACCGGAGAAAGUCAAUGACCACCUCUCCCUCUGUGGCUCUGUCCCCCUCCCCCAUAUAUACCUCUUCUGACUUUUGAAUUGUCUCAAGACCGACCCUAACGCGGUGACUCGGCCAUCCCUCCAACCAGUUUGGUGAACUGGGCAAUCCAGCCAACAACAACUCACCAAUCAAUAAGUCCAAUGCAUUAGGUCCACCCUCUUGACACGUAGCAUUUUCUUUUUUUUUUUUUUCAAGAAAAAUGUUUGGGUACAUUCAGCUCCAAUCAAUACUGGUGUAUACCUCCCGAACCAUAGAUCGCUUACAGAAAUUUUUACAGAUCGCCUACCAACACAGUUUUCACAUUGGCGGCGGGAUUCGCAUACAUAAUCUUUUGUAAAAAAGUGAUUCAUUCUUAUUAAUUGGACCAACUUGUGUAAAAAAGUGAUUCAUUCUUAUUAAUUGGACCAACUUGUGUUGACAUAGCCUUUGUUGUUCAUGAAAAAGGUUGCAUUUCCUUUCAAGUCUGGAGUAGUGACUUAUGGGAAUUGGAAAAUAAGGGUGCAUUUAAUAAAAUUGAAAUUUGAGAUUUGAAAUCUAAAAUCUAAAUUUAGCAAAUUACUAAAUUAUUAAGUACCAAAUUUAAUAGUACAUUUGAGUGUAUGUCACAUUAAGUGAUAAGUGAAUAGCUUAUCACUUAUUUUUUUUAUCCAAAUUUUGUCUUAAAAAAUUCAGCGUCAUUUAAUUAGUUCAAAUAUUUUAUUUUUAGUUAUCAAACGUGUCGAAAUAAGUUAAAAUUUGAAUACACUAAAUUUAAGUGAUGAAUUAGGUUAGCAAACACGGUGGAGUCAAGCUUAACAUUUGGCUGCAAUCAAAGGGUUAACGGCCCCGUCAGUCUAUGACCAUAUUUAAUUUCAAUGAUAAUGUGAACGACUAACAUAUUUUAUCAGCCUCAUUUUUUCUCAAACUUUUUGACAGUUGCCAUUAGCCUCAUCUACCUGAUGGAAUUGGUGUCCUUUAACGUGGUCAAGUGACGUUUUCUUCUUCCAUGGGCCAAUUACUUGGGAAUUUUUUUUCUUUAAUUAUAUGAUUAAAAUUAACACACAAUAAUGACAACAAUACUGAGCACACACAGAUUAAAACUGAUCAACAACAUUACAGCUAAUAACAUUAGAAAAUGUGGGAUGGUAACUAAUAAAUUCACAUUCAGUGAGAUUUAAACCCAAGAUUUGUUUAUUUACAUGAUUUAUAAAUCGUCUCUAUUAAAUUAACCUUUUUAAGUUAGCAUGGCAAAUAAUCAUCAAGCGAUCUGUGUAUCUACAUGAGCAGAAAUUUUACAAAACCAUUAUUUGAAUUACUCUAUAUGCAUAUGUUUUGAUGCCCUCAAAUUGUUCAGAAUACUUCAAUAAACAACCUAUUCAGUCGACACAUUUUUCAGUAUUCAGUAUUUCCAAUCCUUGUGAUAAGGUGGUUAACUGAAGGGUAGAUAUUAAAGUUCUCUUGAUUAAUAUUGAUUAAGUGCAUAAGCAUAUUAUUCUUUCAUCAAAUCCAAUAAAAAAAAUUCCUUAAUCACGCGUUAUAGUGACAUUAGGGUACCCCAAAAAAAAAAAAAAUGAAUCGAAUAUUGAAGCUGUUGAUUUGCAGCAUGGACUCGUUGAGGUUAGGUCGGAGGUUUGCUCAAGGGAGGUAAUAUCUUAGGUAGUGGCUGGAGGACCGGGCGCGUCAUCUAGAUGCAGGAGUUGAGGAGAAACUUUAAAUCAGUGAUGGAAAUUUGAUGCCAAAUAAUGGCCUUAAUUAGUUCUCUUCAUGGUGCUCAGUAUAUUUUUCGUCUAUAACGAACAUAUUCAGAUGCAUGAAUUUAAUUAUGAUGCGACUUUGGGCAGUCUUUCAUGGAUUGCCUGCUAUCAUAAGUAGCAAUUAGUUAUUGAACAGGAAUUGGACUUUUAACUUCUACUAGAGAAAUGCUUUUAAGACGUUAUUGUUUUCAGGUUCAGAUAUCUAUUGUAGAGAAGAUUACUUGACGAUCUAGUAAUUAACUGGAAGAUCUUAAGAAAAAAAAAAAAGAUCAGCUAGCUACUAUAAAUGGUGAAAUUUAAAAAGCGCGGAGAAAAAAGAAAAAUUUAAAUUCAAUAUCUCUAAAUCCUGAAAUCUCAACUUUAUUCAGCAUUGAAAAAUAAUUGUUCGAGAAAUUAUUACGUGUAAAACAUACAUUCAACAGUCAGAAACUCGAUCGUGUGUGUUGACUGGUCAAAAAUAUCUUUAGGGCAGGUCAGAAGAACAUGCUGUUGACUCUUGGCUCUUCUAUCUUGAUUGGGCCAAGGUGGGAAUCCGAUAUUAUUCCACUCUCUGUUCUUUUCUUUUGGCAGAGAAUCGUAUGCAUGAUAACAAAGCGGGUAUGCAGGCUUUGGGUCUGGGGAGGAAAGAAAAGAUGAAAAAUAAAAGAAGAAUGCGUCACGCUCUGACUUGGUUCCCAAAGGCAUCCAUUAUUCAGCUGGAACUCUGCUCUGGUCAAAUUUGCGCUGUGUAGACUACGCAGUAUUGUUCCAACCAUUCCAAGUCGUAAUAAAGCAACUUGUUGGACAACAAUUUCUAUUUUGUGGACGUAAUUCAUCAUGUAAUCAUUAGCAACCCUUCCAGAUUAUGGAGAGCUAAACAAAGUUGUGGUUUCAAUUACCUUCUUAUCUUUCUAACUAUUAUUUUUUAUUUCACAUACCUUACAUGCUAAUAUAACAGGUGCUACAAUAUUUUUUUUUAAAAAAAUAUUUCAAAUAAUCUCCGAUCCAAAAUUAUUAAUUUGGAUAGAAGAGGGAUUUAAAGGUAAGAAUGUGCGACACUUUAUUCUUUUUUAUUCUGGGGUUUAGGAGAGAAAUUGAGAAUUAUAUUUACUUUGCUUGGAAGUUAGUGUAUGAAAGAGAAAUGAAGCAUCCAAAUUAUUCUGACUUUCUCUACCUGUUAAGCAAGAGGUUUACUUUUUUUUUUUUUUUGGUCUACUUUUUUCAAGUUGAGAAACUUGUACAUGUCCAUAAUUACUCGAAAACUUGCAAGGAAACUAUCUUAAGGAAAAAGAGCCAAAAUAGGUAAGUUGCCAAAGCAAAUGGUGCAAAUAUUUGCUAAUUACCUUUCUAGCUCUCGUUGUAUCCACAAUUCACGAGUUCCAAUAAUAAUAAAAAAAAAUAAAACAACAAAAAUGAAUACAAAAUUGAAGUUUUCUAAGACAUUCAUUGAUACUCGAUAACACAUCUAAAUUUCAUCUAACAUAUCGCGCGUGUGCAUGUAUAUAUUGAUAAUUAUUGCCUUCCCUUCUCCUAUUUAUAUAUAUUUUUUAAUUAAUUUUAUUUUUUAAAAAAUUUAACACUUGAAUUAUAUUUUAAAAUGUGCCUAUUGGACACCCGUUAGAUAUAUCCUUAAAAAAUUGCAAAAAGCAAAAAGUUACAAAAGUGUUAAAGGCAUUAAAGAAAAAACUUUGUUGGCCACAGCCCGCAACAACACGAAUUCAUGAAUUCUCGUACUGACCCCCUUAUUCUUCUUUAACAGUAACCAAUAACCUUAGAACUCCGCCAGUUGGCCAAUUUGCAAAGCGCAGGAUGUGGUAGCGUUCUAUUAGGUCAUUAGACAAUUAGUCUCUGACCCCAUAACCGCGUAAACAAAUUCAACCUAAAUUCUACUACUACGCAAGAAACUUCCUUCAUUUCCCAUUUUCAUUUUCCUUUCGUUUCCUUUUUCCUAAAAAUAGUUCCAAUUUCCCCCACUAUAUAUAUGUAAACCUUUCUCCUCCCUUCCCCCUCAAACCAUCAAUCACUUCAAUUUUCUUUCCCCUUUUACCAGCACAUGUCUCAGAGACCCAACGUCCCACACUUCUCCUCCGUCGCCUGCGGCCUCCAUUCCCAUCUCCUGGUUUCCAGUGAGAUGUCCUCUAAUUCCAACUGGUCUUCUUCUGCUCGUACCUUGUAGCUAUUCCACCACCUAGUCUUUUUCCUUAAAUACCCCACAAAAUUAAAAAUUAAAAACCACACACACACUAAACCCAAACAAACAAGGAGAAGAAAGGAAUCAAGAAAAACGCUACUCAUUUUUUCUGAGUUCAACAAAAGAAGAAAAUAUGGGUUUGAAAGGCUUUCUUGAAGGAGGCAUAGCUUCAAUAGUGGCUGGAUGCUCCACCCACCCGCUGGACCUCAUCAAGGUCCGAAUGCAACUUCAGGGAGAAUCCCCCGUCCCCAAACCGGCUGCUCAAGCGCUCCGACCAGCUCUAGCCUUCCACCCUGCAGCUGGUCAGGUUUCUCAUCCUCACAUUCACGUCCCUUCUCCAUCUCUUCGUCCGCCGCCGCCCCGCGUGGGACCCAUUGCCGUGGGAGUCAAGAUUGUCCAGCAAGAAGGGGUCGCCGCGUUGUUUUCCGGCGUCUCCGCCACCGUCCUCCGCCAGACUCUUUACUCCACCACCCGCAUGGGACUUUAUGAUGUUCUGAAGCAAAAAUGGACCGACCCACAUACCAACAAGAUGCCUCUGGAUAGAAAAAUCGCUGCUGGGCUCAUCGCCGGCGCGGUUGGAGCGGCCGUCGGGAACCCCGCUGACGUGGCCAUGGUCCGCAUGCAAGCCGAUGGUCGGCUCCCGGUGGAUCUGCGGCGCAAUUACAAGAGCGUGGUUGACGCGAUUGGUCAAAUGGCUAAAACCGAGGGAGUUGGCAGCCUGUGGCGCGGUUCAUCCCUUACGGUGAACCGCGCUAUGGUGGUGACGGCAUCACAGCUGGCAUCAUAUGAUCAGAUCAAGGAAUCGAUAUUGGAAACGGGUCUGAUGAAGGAUGGGCUUGGGACCCACGUGACCGCCAGCUUCGCCGCGGGGUUCGUGGCGGCGGUGGCGUCGAAUCCGGUGGACGUGAUCAAGACUAGGGUGAUGAACAUGAAGGUCGAGCCGGGGAUGGCCCCACCUUACAGUGGAGCCGUGGAUUGUGCUAUGAAAACUAUCAAGGCUGAGGGCCCACUGGCCCUUUACAAGGGGUUUAUUCCCACAAUCUCAAGGCAGGGACCAUUCACAGUGGUGCUCUUUGUCACACUGGAACAAGUCCGGAAAUUGUUCAAGGAAUUUUGAUUUUUGAGGAUGAUGACGAAGAAAUUAGAAUAAAAAGAAAAUUAUGUUUCUUCUUUUAUGUUCCUGAGAUCUGGGAGUUUGAAUAGCAAGAAAUCUGUCAGAUACUGCAUGUCCUUUGAUUUAUAGUAAAUGGUUAAUUUUUUUUAAUUUGAAUUAUAAACUUGAAACCAACGCAAUUAAAGUAUUCUAUUUUUCAUUAUUUUCAAAGGUCGUGGGAGAAUACGUAAAUCAAUGCAAACUUAUUUGUCUCUUGGACGAACAAAUUAACUUUUACUUUUGGCCGAAUAUCGAACAAAGUCGAUGCAAUUUGACAAAAGGUGAAUUUGAGUGGCUGCAAUUAGUACUAAUUGUUUGUUCAUGUGAGCUAGGGGCUCUAGCUUCUACUUACCCUUUUUUUCCUUUUUUCUAAAUGAGCGGUAUUAGUCUCAUGUUCUUGUUUUUGUAGUCCCAUAAUUACAUAUAAUAUCAGCAAAAAGUUAUAUCCCAAGCUUGAUUUUGGUUUCUUUGUUAAGCAAAAUUCAGUUCCAAAUUAGCAAUAGUAUAUAGUUGUGUUUGGACAGACAUUUUUCGUCCAAAAAUUACUACAUUUUCCGUGAACACAUUUUCCUAUCAUCUUUUUACUUCACAUACAUCAAAUCAAAUCGCUACAGUAAUUUUUUUACAAAAAAUCCAGAAAAAUGCAAUCCAAACACAACCUAUUAUAUUGUUGAAUUCAGUUGGACUUUGUACUCAAGUGGAAUAUUCGAAGCUCAUAUGCGCUGCUAAAAAGUGCUGGUAUAUUCUUAUAAGAUAUGUAUAUAUUCUUUAGUUAUGGCUAAAAUUGAGACCUUCAGAAAUUAAAAGUCUUUUUUGUUUUUUGAAUCUCACCUCUUAUGUGCCAAAAAAAAAAAAAGUUCUUUAGCUAGAAGUGAUCGUUGUAAGAUAUGUAUUUUCUCAAGCUAAGAAGUUAUUUAAGGAUCAAUAAUAAUUAUUCUUUUAUGUUUUCAAACAAACUUUAUGAAAAA